rnacentral:rRNA from 1 species
GAGUUUGAUCAUGGCUCAGAUUGAACGCUGGAGGCGUGCUUAACACAUGCAAGUCGCGCGAGAAAGGGACUUCGGUCCUGAGUAGAGCGGCGCACGGGUGAGUAACGCGUGGGUGAUCUCCCCUGGUGAUCGGGAUAACAGCUGGAAACGGCUGCUAAUACCGGAUAAUCUUCAUGUUUAGCUUCAUGGGGUAAAGGUGGCCUCUGCUUGCAAGCUACCACAUCAGGAUGAGCCCGCGUCUCAUUAGCUAGUUGGUGGGGUAACGGCCUACCAAGGCGACGAUGAGUAGCUGGUCUGAGAGGAUGACCAGCCACACUGGGACUGGAACACGGCCCAGACUCCUACGGGAGGCAGCAGUGGGGAAUAUUGCGCAAUGGGCGAAAGCCUGACGCAGCGACGCCUCGUGAGGGAUGAAGGUCUUCGGAUCGUAAACCUCUGUCAAGAGGGAAGAAACCAUUGGAGUCGAACAGGCUUCUUUGCUGACGGUA